rnacentral:pre_miRNA from 1 species
UCCCUCUCAAAGUGGUUGUGAAAUGGUGUAACUGACAUUCCCAUAUCACAGCCAGCUUUGAUGAGCUAGG